GACGAACGCUGGCGGCGUGGAUUAGGCAUGCAAGUCGAGCGACGGCCCUUCGGGGUACGGAGCGGCGAACGGGUGAGUAACACGUGAACAACCUGUCCCUACAUUCCGGAUAAUUGGCCGAAAGGCCUUGUAAUACGGGCGAGGAUCUCUGGAAGGCAUCUUCUGGAGAGGGAACACGCAAGUGGUGCGGGGAGGGGUUCGCGUCCUAUCAGGUAGUUGGCGGGGUAACGGCCCACCAAGCCUACGACGGGUAGCUGGUCUGAGAGGAUGGUCAGCCACAUUGGAACUGAGACACUGUCCAGACUCCUACGGGAGGCUGCAGUCGAGAAUCUUGCACAAUGCACGAAAGUGUGAUGCGGCGACGCCGCGUGAAGGAUGAAGGCCCUUGGGUCGUAAACUUCUUUAGAGGGGAAGAAACCCGAGAAUUCUUUUCGUUGACGGUACCCUAGGAAUAAGCACCGGCUAACUCCGUGCCAGCCGCCGCCGUAAC
rnacentral:rRNA from 1 species